CUUGGGUCUCUUUUGGGAGAAAGGUGGCAUAGAAAUAAAAUAAAUAAAUAAAUAAAUAAAUAAUAGUGUGUAAAAAGGUGGAAGAACAGUAGUAACCAUCUACAGUAUAAAUAUUGUUGUUUGUACUUGUUUAUUCCAAGAGAAAAUGAUUAUUUCCCCAAAAGGGUAAAUCCAAGAAGUCUAAUAUAAUUGCUCUUGGGUGGCAAAGAUUUUACUGAAAUCAAUUAAAAUUUUACUUGAGGUAAAAAUUUAACAUCAGACCUUGGAGAUCUAGAUCAUUUCCCCACCUCUUAUUAAUGUUGUUUGGAUUCUAUUUUGUAUGAAAGGACAAAGAAAUCUAACAGAGAAAAUCCAAGCAGAUUAUAGCAAUUGAAUUAAGCUGAGGAGGAAGAGGGAAAGUGGCUGGAGUAGAGAGGAACGGGGACAUUUUAAAGAAGCUGAAGAAACAGAAUGACAGAAAAUUAAUCAAGAUUGUUCCUACAAAACCUGGACAGUUAUAGGAGCUUCCUGGGAAGAUCAACUGGAAGACAGAUUAUCCCCUGGACACAGAGCAUGAGCUAAUGUUUUGCACUGAAUCUUCCAUUAGUCAUCAUUACCCACCCAUUGACAAAAUUCAGAAUAAUUUCACAGUCGACUCCCUUCUGACAGUGCCUAAUACACAAAUCUAAUAAAAACAACCAUUAU